GACGCCUCCGCGGCCGCCAGGGACGGAAGCGCGACGCGAAGCUCGCGUCUCUCCCCGAAAUCCUCCCCCUUCUGAUUUUCUACGCUUCUCCACACCCUUCCCCUCGGCGUUCGGUUUUGCUUUUGUUGUGUUGGGUUUUGUUUUUGCCACGCCAGGCUUCUCUCUGGCCACCUCUCUCUGGGCAUCGAGGACUCCGCGGGCCGCGCGGGGAGCGUUUCUCACGGGGUCCUUAGCCUGGUAGUCAAGGUGACCCGGGGGUGGCUGGGCUCAGGCCUCCGCCGAGGAGGGUGCUGGGGCGGGGGUGGGGGGCAUGAUCACGCCCUUUACUGUUGUAGGGAGAAGGAGCAGGAUUUACCCAAAACGACAUGGGCAGCGUAGCAGCUUGGGAGAUGGAGGUUUGCAUUCUGUCCAAGCGUUGAAAAAUAAACGGUGGGGUUUGAGGGCUAUGCAGCUUCCCAUAGUUGUAUUCAUUAGAGCAGAAUGCUCUUAGUCCCACCACAACAGCGCCAUGGUUCAGCCUGGAUUUUUUCCCCCUACGUAUAUGGUACUCCCUCCUCGGAGAUGCUGCAUUCAUCAGAAGCGAUGUCCUGCGGACCCGCUGCAUCCUAAAUAUAAGCGCGAGCUUCCCCUAUCAGCACACGUCACCACUCAGUAGGUACGUUGUCACCAACCAGCUGGCCGCGUCCCGACCAACUCCGAAGCUCCCGGGAUCCCUCAGCAUCUGACACCUAGGGAGGCGCGUUGGCGUAGGAGCCGGUGGCGCCCUCUAGUGUUGGCGCUCACAGACGCCGCCGCUUUUGUGUUAGCCUAGGAGUAAGUGGGGAUCCUUCACCCCGGUGAAGUAGGAAGUGCUGAAGCUCCAGAGAGUGAAGAUCUGGGGUUUAGGGCUUUGAAGACAGUUCCCAGGAACUCUUCUAGUGACCUCGACGGCAGGCUCUCAGCCACUUCUUUCUUCCUGUUGUUACCAGCUCAGCCUAAAAGGCCAGAGAAGACCUCUCAAGGGAAGACUUUUAUUGGACUUAUCCCAGCUGACCCAUCAACUUCCCAGGACAGCCUUUGGCAGUGUUCUGAGGAGGGUGAAUGAAAAUGAGAAACGGCGCGAUAAAAAGAGGAUGCUUCCAUCACCAACUGACUCGUCAUGGGCAUUUUAUUGACACUCUGCUGUUACAUGGGGAAGCAAGGUGUUGAGGCACGGAAAGGAAUCCAUGAAUGUGGAUGCCACAGCGUCACUUCAGCUCUGGGAGCUGUAAGCCUUGGGAAACAGCAAAGAGGGAGAGCCAACAAAGGGACAGACCAGCUCACUAGGAACAGAGAGAGACGCUAAGAGGUUCAUAUACUUGGGACCCUGAGAGAGAGAGGGAGGGGCUAAAUGACAUUAUCAUUUCAACUUUUCAGGGGUCAUGAUGUGCCUUCGGAGAACAGGAAAAACAAAC